rnacentral:lncRNA from 1 species
UCCAGAUGAUACUUUUCUACUCUUUUUCUUCUUUCCCACAUCUUCUUCAGAUUCAUCUUCAGUUUCAUUUUUCUCCUCACUUUCAGAAUCCUCAGGCAUCUCGUCCUCAGAUUUUUCUGCAACUCCAUUUUCAUUUUUCUCUUCUUCAUUCUGUUCCUCUUCCUUCUCUUCUUCUUCCUUUUCUUCUUCUUCCUCCUCCUCUUCUUCUUCAGACUCAUCCUCCGAAUCAGGCAUACUCUUUUUCCUAGAUUUUGGAAUAUCCUCACUCUUUCUUCGACUCUGCAUAAUACAUAGAACAAAUGGGAAAAAAUUCUAAGAAAAUAACUAAGAAGAUUAAUGUAAAAAGAAGUAAAACCAUAUGACCCCUAA